rnacentral:rRNA from 1 species
GACGAACGCUGGCGGCGUGCUUAACACAUGCAAGUCGAACGAAGUGGCGAACGGGUGAGUAACGCGUAAUCAACCUGCCCUUCAGAGGGGGACAACAGUUGGAAACGACUGCUAAUACCGCAUACUGAAGGAGGGGAUUGCGUCUGAUUAGCUAGUUGGAGGGGUAACGGCCCACCAAGGCGAUGAUCAGUAGCCGGUCUGAGAGGAUGAACGGCCACAUUGGGACUUAGACACGGCCCAGACCCCUACGGGAGGCAGCAGUGGGGAAUCUUCCGCAAUGGACGAAAGUCUGACGGAGCAACACCGCGUGAGUGAAGAAGGUUUUCGGAUCGUAAAGCUCUGUUGUUAGGGAAGCGGUAUCUUACCAGAAAGCGACGGCUAACUACGUGCCAGCAGCCGCGGUAAUUC